CUAUUGACCAAGCUCCUCACCAAAACUAAUAGCAGAAAUUCCAUUCUCCAAAAGGUCAAGAUCAAAAUCCAUCUCCUGCAUGAAGCCGUCCUGGGUUCCUCCGAACAGGAAUGAUCUUUUUCUCCAUUGAACGACUUUAAAGAUCCUCUAUGCCACUCAUCACAAAGUUCCUUAGAGUAUAGUAAUAAAUUGCUUAUGUUGUUGAAUU
rnacentral:lncRNA from 1 species